rnacentral:rRNA from 1 species
GACGAACGCUGGCGGCGUGCUUAACACAUGCAAGUCGAACGGAAAGGCCCUGCUUUUGUGGGGUGCUUGAUUGGCGAACGGGUGAGUAACACGUGAGUAACCUGCCCUUGACUUUGGGAUAUCUUCAGGAAACUGGGGCUAUUAUCGGAUAGGAGCUCCUGCUGCAUGGUGGGGGUUGGAAAGUUUCGGCGGUUGUGGAUGGACUCGCGGCUUACCAGCUUGAUGGUCGGGUAGUGGAUUACCAAGGGUUUGACGGGUAGCCGGCAUGAGAGCGUGACCGGCCACAUUGGGACUGAGAUACGGCGCAGUCUCCUACGGGAGGCAGCAGUCGGGAGUAUUGCACAAUGGGCGGAAGCCUGAUGCAGAGACGCCGCGUGCGGGAUAACGGCCUUCGGGUUGUGAACCGCUUUCGCAUGUGACGAAGAGUGAGUGACGGUAAUGGGUAAAGAAGCAACGGCUAACUACGUG